rnacentral:RNase_P_RNA from 1 species
AGAGUGGGCUGGGUGGCCGCUGGUGUUAUGCUGUUUGCAGAUUUUAACACUGGAGGAAAGUCCGGGCUCCAAAAAGCAAGAUGCCGGGUAACUCCCGGCGGGGGCAACCCUAGGGACAGUGCCACAGAAAACAGACCGCCGGACUAGUUUAUCUUCCGGUAAGGGUGAAAAGGUGCGGUAAGAGCGCACCGCGUUUUCCGGUAACGGAAACGGCAAGGUAAACCCCGUCUGGAGCAAGACCAAAUAGGGGGACGUUUAGGGCUGCUAUGUCCAGUUCCCGGGUAGGUCGCACGAGGUGCUUGGUAACAAGUACCCAAGAUGAAUGGUCACCACCUGACUAGCAAUAGUCAGGAACAGAACCCGGCUUACAGGCCCGCUCUUUUU